rnacentral:misc_RNA from 1 species
CUUGGCUGACCUCUCAAAUUUUGAUUGUAUAUGUAAUUUCCAGAAGCCAAAGCAUAAACAUCAACAUUAUUAUGCCUAAGGGGUCCUAGACAAGGGAGGGCUAGAGAGACGGAGGAACCGAGGGUUAAGUUGGUGAGUUAGGAGGUCAAAGAGGCUUAGGGAGAAGGGACGAGACUGGCAUAAUCACAGAGGCGACGAGGCAUAGAGAGAAG